UUUGUCUUUAUGGCAAAUGUGAGAUGCASUGUAUGGAAUGUCAAAUUUCUAGUAUGAGAAAUUAACGAUUUAAGUCCUUCUUAAAUGAGGCCAUUUACCCAUAGAGGGUGCCAGGCCCGUAUAACGUUAAUGAUUACUAGAUGGCAUUUCCAAAGAGUCGUGUUGCUUGAUAGUGCAGCACUAAGUGGGUGGUAAACUCCAUCUAAAACUAAAUAUAACCAUGAGACCGAUAGUAAACAAGUACCGUGAGGGAAAGUUGAAAAGAACUCUGAAUAGAGAGUUAAAUAGUACGUGAAACUGCUUAGAGGUUAAGCCCGAUGAACUUGAAUAUCCUUAUAGAAAAUUCAUCAUUAUGAUUUUAAUAUAUAUUAUAAUAAUAGUGUGCAUUUUUUCUAUAAGGACAUUGUAAUCUAUUAACAAUUUAUCAUAAGAUCAAGUUUAUUCAAAUUAUUUUGCUCAAUUUAACAUAGAAUAAAUGCUUAUGAUUUGAUAAAGUGUUGAUAGAUAUAGUGCUUAAAUUUUAUAAUAGUAUGUAUUAUAUGCACUUAUAUGAUUAACAAUGCGAAAGAUUCAGGAUACCUUCGGGACCCGUCUUGAAACACGGACCAAGGAGUCUAACAUAUUUGCAAGUUAUUGGGAAAAUAGCGAAAUUAACAUAACUUGGGAUUAGUUUUUUAAUUCAAUCCCGGGGCGUUCUAUACAGUUAUGUAUAAUAAUAUUAUAUUAUUUAUACCUCUAACUAGAGCGUACCUUGAGCAUAUAUGCUGUGACCCGAAAGAUGGUGAACUAUACUUGAUCAGGUUGAAGUCAGGGGAAACCCUGAUGGAAGACCGAAACAGUUCUGACGUGCAAAUCGAUUGUCAGAAUUGAGUAUAGGGGCGAAAGACCAAUCGAACCAUCUAGUAGCUGGUUCCCUCCGAAGUUUCCCUCAGGAUAGCUGGUGCAUUUAAAACUUAUGUAAAAUAAUCUUAUCUGGUAAAGCGAAUGAUUAGAGGCCUUAGGGUCGAAACGAUCUUAACCUAUUCUCAAACUUUAAAUGGGUAAGAACCUCACCUUUCUUGGUAUGAAGGUAGUGGUUGUGAUAUAAUGUGCCCAGUGGGCCACUUUUGGUAAGCAGAACUGGCGCUGUGGGAUGAACCAAACGUAAUGUUACGGUGCCCAAAUUAACAACUCAUGCAGAUACCAUGAAAGGCG
rnacentral:rRNA from 1 species